UACAGAGGGUGCGAGCGUUAAUCGGAAUUACUGGGCGUAAAGCGUGCGUAGACGGUUAUUUAAGUCGGGUGUGAAAGCCCCCGGGCUCAACCUGGGAAUUGCAUUCGAGACUGCAUGGCUAGGGUGCGGAAGAGGGAAGCGGAAUUUCCGGUGUAGCGGUGAAAUGCGUAGAUAUCGGAAGGAACACCAGUGGCGAAAAGCGGCUUCCUGGUCCAGCACCGACAUUCAGGCACGAAAGCGUGGGGAGCAAACAGG
rnacentral:rRNA from 1 species